UACACAUGUUGCCUCUAGUGAGCCUUC
rnacentral:piRNA from 1 species